UACGAAGGGGGCUAGCGUUGCUCGGAAUUACUGGGCGUAAAGCGCACGUAGGCGGCUUUCUAAGUCGGGGGUGAAAUCCUGGAGCUCAACUCCAGAACUGCCUUCGAUACUGGAGAGCUUGAGUCCGGGAGAGGUGAGUGGAACCGCGAGUGUAGAGGUGAAAUUCGUAGAUAUUCGCAAGAACACCAGUGGCGAAGGCGGCUCACUGGCCCGGUACUGACGCUGAGGUGCGAAAGCGUGGGGAGCAAACAGG
rnacentral:rRNA from 1 species